AAAGAACUAAGAUUUCAGAUCUGUCAACCCUUCUUCUGAUCAGGUCUGAGGAAGGGCCACCAGAUCUGACAUCGUACCUCUUUUUUGCCUUCACAGAUGUUUUCAGACCUGCUGAGCUUUUCCAGAAAUUUUGUUUUUGUCCAUCAUCUAAAAUCUCACAGUCAGAUGAGAUUGUAUGUUAAGUUAAAAUCUGAACAAUCUACAGAUGCUGUAAAUCAGAAACAAAAACAGAAGUUGCUGUAAAAAACCAGCAGAUCUGGCAGCAUCUAUGGAGAGAAAACAGAGUUAACAUUUUGGGUCGUAUUACCCUUCCUCAGAAUUCCUUAUUUCUAAGUGUCACAGGAUCUGAAACGUUAAUUCUAACUUCUGUCCAUAGAUGCUGCCAGACUCGCUGAGCAUUUCCAGUAAUUUCUGAGCUUCUGUCUUGGUUUCUGAAAACAUUGAGCUAUGCAAAUACCUUUCAGUAGGCUUUGGGGGAUAUUUAAUUAUUACUUGUAACAGAGGACCUCUUAACUUAGAAUAAGUUGAUAAUGGGAGGACAACCAGUUGGCAAUCAAAUCUCUGUCCUGUAGCUUUUGCAGGGACAAUCCUUCUGAUUUAAAGACAGUUCAAUAUUGGUUUCUCUUUGCUAAUGACUCAUCAAUAGAGUUUUCUUGGAAGAAGAAUUGACCUGCAAUUAACAUCCAGACCUAGCCUCAUAAACAAAUAUCAAAUUGUUUCUUCUUUUUUCACAUAAGCUGCUGCUCACAGUCCAAAGGUCACUCUCAGCUCACAGUUCACAGCUCCAAACCAAAAAUGAUAAUGAACUUAAGUACUAGGAGGAGUAAGACAAUUCAGCUCCUUGAGCCCCGCUGUUUGAUAUGAUUGUGGUUGAUCUUAUCUCUGCUGCAACUUCAGUUUCCUACCUGCUCUCCAUAAUUCUUGAACCCAUUAUGAACUCAAAAAUCGUUCUAUCUCCUCUUCAAAUUUGCUCAAUGUCACAGCCCUCCAAUGCCUUCUCAGGGAGUGAAUUCCAGAGAUUCAUGACCCUUCCAGUGUAGAAAUUUUUCAUCAUCCCUUUAAACCUUCUUUCCCUAUGCUAAAACUAUGACCUCUUGUUCUAUUGCCCGCAUGAGGAACCAUCCUUUCCACGUCAACUUUAUCAAUCUGCUUGAACAUAUUAUAUCCCUCAAUUAGAUCCCUUCUCAUUGUUCUGAACACCUGAGAAUGUAGGCCGAAACUACUCUGUCUGUCUUAAGACGCAUUCUCGUCUCUGGAAUCAUCCUGGUGAACCUCCACUGGACUGCCUCCAAUACAAUGACAUCUCUCCUUAAGUAAGGAAACCAGAACUGUACACAGGGCUCCAGGUGUGGACUCACUAAUGCCUUGCAUAGUUGCAGCGACCUUCUUUUGUAUUUGUAUACUCUCUUUCUUGAGCAACAAAUGCCAAAAUUCCAUUUCCCUGCCUUAAUACCUGCUGUACCUGCUUACUGAGUUUCUGUGAUUCAUAAAACUAAAAAAAAUGAAGGUUUCAAUGCUGUUAAAAUGAAAUCCAUCCAAGUAAAAUUAAAAUAAUGAUAAGAGGACAUUAAUAGAAAAUGAAAACAUUUUUCUCUCUCUGGAGAGCAAUAUUGAACAGGCUUCACAUAAUAAUGUUAUUUGUGAGCUUGGAUUCUAUACUGGAGGAAUGCUGCGCAAGUUUUAAGUUUGAAUUGUACACCUAUACCGUGUGUAGUGAGAAGGACAAGACGUGGGUUUUAAUCUAAUAAUUUUCUAUGUUCUUCUGUUAUAAAUAUACAUAGGCAUCCGUUUGUGAGCAUUUUCAGUAAUUGAAUACCACAGUAAAGAGAACGAAAAUUUAUCUCACCCUGGAAUCUGAAUUGUCCAGUAUCACCAUCAACUGGGAUCAUAACACUUGUCAUUUCAAAGGCCAAACCUGAUAUUACCACUCGAUUCCUCAACUAAAAUGGAAUUUGAUUCAUUCAGUUGUCAUACAUGAAUGACCUUGAUAGUGUGUUGUAAAUUAUAAAGUGAAACAAAAUAGCCCUUCACCAUUUUUCUUGUAAAGCAAAUCCAUCAUAUUCGAUUGUUGUAGUGGUAUAAAACACUAGUAAGUCACACAUUGCAAAGUCCUCCUGAAUGUGAGCCAGACAUUUACAUAGAUCUGUGGUUAACCUCAAGAGGCAACCCAAUCUUGUAUUUGUUUCCUUUUUAGGCCACUUUUCUGACAACAAAGACUUCACCAGUCUCCUUAAACAGCUGAGAUCAGACUAAUUACAAAGCUCUAUUUUGUCCAUAACCUACCCUUGAUCAAUGCUAAAGAAGAUACACUAGCAUUUAAAUAAAAUUGUAUUUAUAGAGUCAGAGAGUGAUACAACACGAAACAGACCUUUCAGUCCAAUUAGUCCAUGCUGACCAUAAUCCCAAACUAAAGUAGUCCUGCCUGCCUCCUGCGCUCGGCCAUAUCCCUCCAUUCAUGUACUUACCUGGAUGUCUUUUAAAUAGUGAAACUGUACCCGCAUCCACCAAUUCUUCUGGAAGUUCAUUCCACAUAUGAACAAUCCUCUGUAUAAAAAUAUUGCCCCUCGUUUCCUUUUUAAAUCUUUCUCCUCUCAUCUUAAAACUAUGCCCCAUAGUUUUGAAAUCCUCCACAGUAGGGAAAAGACAUUUGGCGUUCACCUUAUCUAGAUCCCUCAUUAUUUUAUAAACAUUCAUCGGGUGACCCCGAAACCUCCUAAGAUGCAGUGAAAAAAGCCCCAGUCUAUUCUCACCUUAAAUCUCAAAACCUCCAUUUCUGGCAACAUCCUGGUAAUUCUUUUCUGAACCCUCUCCAGCUUAAUAAUAUCCUUCCUUGAACACCGACCAGAAUUGGACACAACAGUUUAGAAGAGGCCUCACCAAUAUCCUGUACAACUUCAACAUGGCAUUCCAACUCUUCUCCUCAAAGGUCUGAGUCAUGAAACACCUUCUUAACUACCGAAAGAACUACAGAUGCUGUAAAUCGCGAACAAAAACAAAGUUGCUGUCAAAUCUCAGGAAGUCUGGCAGCUUCUUUGAAGGAAAAAACAAAGUUAACGUUUCGGGUCUGGUGACCUUUCCUCAAAACUGGCAUUUCCCCUCUUUGCUGUCCACUGUACCACCGAUUUUGGUAUCAUCUGCAAACUUACUAACCAGGCCUUCUAUAUCCUCAUCUAAAUCAUUUAUAUAAAUGACAACCAAAAGCAGACCCAGCAAUGAUCCCUGUGGAACACCGCUGGCAACAGGCCUCCAGUAUGGAAAACUUCCUUGCAUCACCACUCUCCAUCUCCUGCCUUUUAUCCAAUUUUGUUUAGUUUCUACUUAAUUAAUAUUCCAGUAAUAAACAUCCCUGAUGAGCUGCGGAACGGUCACCGCACCCGAAACGUUAACGCUGUUUUUGUUUUCCAUCACAGAUGUUGCCAGACCCGGUGAGCUAUUCCAGCAACUUUGUUUUAGUUCCUGAUGAGCUGCGACUUUGUACUUGACUGAUUUCCAACAUCACAAGUUCUAAAGGUUGGAAGAGAUUGGUUUACCUUGACUUCCUAGCUUGAAAAUGUGCCUUUUAUGCAAAGAAACUGUACUCUGGGACAGUGGUUUUUCAGAUUUACCUGCAGGUCCAGCUGUGAAUCGGAGUUGAAGUAGUUGCAAGCACUGAUGAAUAGGCAGCUAUUUAGCCUCUGGAUGGAAUCCUGUGGAAGCGACGAGGGUCUAGGUCAUUGACUCGAGAACUGAUGAGGGAACGGCUUGCCCCAACCAGCUUCCCUUCAGGGGAACGCCAGCCUCAGGUCGCUCCCCUCAAGGGGUAUGUCAUCCUGACCUUGCUCCUCUCAUGCGUAGGCAGCUACAUCUUUCUCCCCUCUGGCACAUAAUAGACCGGUGGCAAACCUGGUGGGAUGUCACUUUCCAUGAGCGGUUGGCUAACCAGAACCCAGCAUGUGUACUAAGCAGCAGUGUCACUUGGGAGGUGAUGAUCUCUGUUACCAUUGGCAACCAACCUACGAUUAUUGCUCGAUCUCGGACCAGGAUUGAGUGAAACACCAUUAGCACGCCACUUCCCCUUCUUGAUGUUGCACAUUGAAUGCCUUUGAAAGCCUGUUACAUUUCUUAAUGGUGACACCCCUGCCCACUGUUGACUCAAUACCAGUUGUUGUGGGAUGAUGUAUGUGUACGUCAGUUGCUCAAUUGGGGACUUUAACUCGCAACGAAGUUGGGAAGUUAUGCACAAGUCUUCUCACCAUGGAUUUAAUCUGGCUCUAAGCAGAAUUGUAGGUGGUGCCAUCCUUCCACCUGAUUAAAUGUCCUCUAUUUUCAAACUUGCCACAAGGGAAAGUACAAAAUCCCGCUGUUUUUGUUAUCAAUUCAUGGUUUUUAAUUUUGCAAUCAGUGUCGUAAGCAGCAGAUUAGUUCAGUCCUUGUGAAAUUGAAGGCAAUGCAACACUUUAAUUGGUCACUUUUUAACAUGGCAGGUUCUCAGACUGAGGAAAUGGUGAAUGUUGUUGAUCUUUAAUGCAAUAUAAUGGAGGAGAGAAAAAUCUGGACUAUAGAGCCCACAGGAAGAAAAUUAUAAUCUGUCAGUGCUGCCUCCAUUAGAACAAUGCCAAGUAAAUACCCGUCCCCAUAUCGAACAAUAGAAGUUUCCUGCAUAUCAGAACAUACCCAUUGAGUGGGGAACUGACGAAUAAUGCAGGAGCACCAUCGGAUUGAAAUACUUUUAUUCUAAGAAUUUCAGAACAUGCUGGGAUUUUUAUAGCAAGCAAUACUUGUGAUGGAAUAUUCUUUUAAUGUCAAAAUGCUGCAACAGUUUGGAAGAACCAAUAUUAAAUGGAUAUUAUUGCAGAUAAUAUAUGUGAAUUAAAUAAAAUUGUUUGCUUAAAGUAUUUUGUAAUUCGAAUUGAAUGUCGCAUUUUUGUAUCUUAGUUGUCUUCUGUUUCUAAUUUUUCUUAUUUUUAUAGAGCAAGUAUUGUCCUGGUCACUUGUAAUGCUGCCAAUUCAAGAUUAACUACAUGGAUGGUCUCUAUCAGUUGCUUAAUCCCCGAUGUCAGUUUGCAAUCCUGAAUCCAAGAUUGUCACUUCAUCUUUCAAUUCUGUGUAUAAUCAAAGUCUGAGAUCAACAGCUUUCAUUUUACUAUCUGGAAGUCAAUCAGUGCAGAUUUUGUUUGUAAACAAGCGUUCUGUAUGUAAAACUGCUUCGUUUAAUUAGAUUAGUUAGUUAAGAUUCAUUUUAAUGAAAUGAAUCAUAACUAAGCUUCAUCUCUUCCUCAUUCUGAUUCUGAACACAUGGUAUGUCACGCAAUGGCAAUUCAAUUUUGCAUUGGUGCCGGUUCAAACCAUGUGUUUUCCAACUACAGAUUGAUACAGAUGAAAUUGUACCAUUUCCUUUUUAGUACCAUUCUCACCAUACAGUGUUUCUGUUCAUUACGUUUCUGUGCACAGUUCUGAACCAGUCCCCUUGCCCCUGAGCUUGCCAAAUGUCUCAAUGUUGUCAUGACAUUGUCAAAGAAUUCAUUCCUUGGUAGAUUCAGAGAUAAAUUAAUGUAACCUAGUAUGUGUUAAUGCCUCUGCUGUAAUCGGGCGAAACACUCAGGCCAUUGUCUUAAUUUUUCUCUCUUGUAUUUAUAUUGAAAUGUUGACCAUGCCAUUUGCUCCACUUACUGGAAUUGGACUUGUUACAGAAGUGCUGAACGUCAACUUGCCAAAUACAAUUGGAUGAAAAGUAUGAGGCCAAUCAGUCUCUUGAAACACUUUCUCUAUGCAAUCAACAUAACAACAUUCAUUGACAAUGAAAAAUUACGUACGUGCUUCAGAAGAUUAGAUUUGAAACAGAGAUUUGUGAAUAUGAAUGGAGCUAUAUAUGUCCCCAUCUCAGGCACCAACCUCAAGUUCACCUGGACUAUCUACAACACCUCUGUCACCUUCCUGGACCUCUCUGUCUCCAUCUCAGAACCUAACCCGGAAGAGAGAGCCCAGAGAAUUGCCAAAGCUGUCCUCAAACAGUCAACAGAAGUGAAGGAAAAUUGGGAGCAAUUGAAAAUCCAUGCAAGCAACUGGCAGAAACAGGUGGAAAAGGCAUUGGAGAAACUUCAAGAACUGCAGAAAGCUCUGGAUGAUCUUGAGGCUCGUGAUAACAGCUGAGGGGGUCCACACUGAUUGGCAACCUGUGGGUGACCUGCUUAUUGACUCAUUGCAGGAUCACAUUGAUAAAACCAAAAUAAGUGCAAUUACAUUGCACUUCACUUAUGAACAGAUGUAACUGCAAUGUUGUAUCGAGACGAUCAGUAAUAUGAGUACUUAAGUAAUAUUGAUUGAAUGGUUGUUAACUUAAUUUGAAAAUUAAAACUUAGUUGAGCAUG